rnacentral:rRNA from 1 species
AGUUUGAUCCUGGCUCAGGAUGAACGCUAGCUACAGGCUUAACACAUGCAAGUCGGGGGGCAGCAUUGGGGUAGCAAUACUUCAGAUGGCGACCGGCGCACGGGUGAGUAACACGUAUCCAACCUGCCGCUUACUCGGGGAUAGCCUUUCGAAAGAAAGAUUAAUACCCGAUGGUAUAAAGAGUUCGCAUGUUCUCUUUAUUAAAGAAUUUCGGUAAGCGAUGGGGAUGCGUUCCAUUAGAUAGUUGGCGGGGUAACGGCCCACCAAGUCUACGAUGGAUAGGGGUUCUGAGAGGAAGGUCCCCCACAUUGGAACUGAGACACGGUCCAAACUCCUACGGGAGGCAGCAGUGAGGAAUAUUGGUCAAUGGACGAGAGUCUGAACCAGCCAAGUAGCGUGAAGGAUGACUGCCCUAUGGGUUGUAAACUUCUUUUAUAAGGGAAUAAAGUGAGGGACGUGUCCCUUUUUGUAUGUACCUUAUGAAUAAGGAUCGGCUAACUCCGUGCCAGCAGCCGCGGUAAUACGGAGGAUCCAAGCGUUAUCCGGAUCUAUUGGGUUUAAAGGGAGCGUAGGUUGACAUAUAAGUCAGCUGUGAAAGUUUACGGCUCAACCGUGAAAUUGCAGUUGAUACUGUAUGUCUUGAGUGUACAAGAGGUGGGCGGAAUUCGUGGUGUAGCGGUGAAAUGCUUAGAUAUCACGAAGAACUCCAAUUGCGGAGGCAGCUCACUGGGGUACAACUGACACUGAGGCUCGAAAGUGUGGGUAUCAAACAGGAUUAGAUACCCUGGUAGUCCACACAGUAAACGAUGAAUACUCGCUGUUUGCGAUAUACAGUAAGCGGCCAAGCGAAAGCAUUAAGUAUUCCACCUGGGGAGUACGCCGGCAACGGUGAAACUCAAAGGAAUUGACGGGGGCCCGCACAAGCGGAGGAACAUGUGGUUUAAUUCGAUGAUACGCGAGGAACCUUACCCGGGCUUGAAUUGCAGAGGAACAUAGUUGAAAGAUUAUGGCCGCAAGGUCUCUGUGAAGGUGCUGCAUGGUUGUCGUCAGCUCGUGCCGUGAGGUGUCGGCUUAAGUGCCAUAACGAGCGCAACCCUUAUCAUUAGUUACUAACAGGUGAUGCUGAGGACUCUAGUGAGACUGCCGUCGUAAGAUGUGAGGAAGGUGGA